UACGGAGGGUGCAAGCAUCAAUCGGAUUUAUUGGGCGUAAAGGGCGCGUAGGCUGAAAGAAAAGUCAGAUGUGAAAUCCCGGGGCUCAACCUCGGAACAGCAUUUGAAACUCUCUUACUAGAGGGUAGGCGGAGAAAACGGAAUUCCACGAGUAGCGGUGAAAUGCGUAGAUAUGUGGAAGAACACCGGUGGCGAAGGCGGUUUUCUAGCUUAUACCUGACGCUGAGGCGCGAAAGCAAGGGGAUCAAACAGG
rnacentral:rRNA from 1 species